rfam:Archaeon GW2011_AR4 QS99_C0010, whole genome shotgun sequence.
AGCCCGGUAGUGUAGCGGCCAAUCAUCUCUGACUUUGGAUCAGAGGACCCAGGUUCGAAUCCUGGCCGGGCUA